AACUUCCAAUAUCAAAUUUUAGCACAAACCCUAUAAAAUCUAUCUUGUCAGAAUGUGCCAGAACCUCUAAGCCCUUCCCGGCUGAACAAACUGCAGCUGGUGCUUCAUCCUGAAAGGAGAGAAUCGACUUUGCGUGUGGGGUAUAGGAAGCACACCGGCCCCGGUUUUCGCCCAGCUGCCGGGCCGACGGGGGAAGGCGUGGGUUUAGAUUAGCCGUGUCCUACGCCGCUUGACGGGGUGACACGGGUCUGUAGGGCCGAGCCCGGGGCCUGGAGAUAGGGCCAGCCAGCAGGAAUGCAGGGAAUGUUUUUCUUCGGACUCUAUCGAGGCACACAGACCAUGGGGAUUCUGUCCGCGGUGACAGCCUUAACAUUUGCCAGAGCCCUGGACGCCGCUCUAGAAAUGGCAUUGCCCACCCUGGAAGUGAGAAGCGCGGAGUAGAGAAAAGGAGGGAACCCGAGAGCAAUUUCUCUGCCUCUGGGAUCAACCCUGCACCAAAGAAAAAUAACCUGGAGAAAUUAGUCUGCAGCCAGGAACGAGGCUGGGAUCAAAUGGUUGCUGAUUGGAGCAAAUAUUUAAACGGGAUAAGUCAAAUCGAGCAUUAUUAAAUAAAGCUUGUUUAAUAUGUCUCAAACAGAAAA